rnacentral:rRNA from 1 species
GACGUAGGGGGGCCAGCGUUGUUCGGAAUUACUGGGUGUAAAGGGUUCGUAGGCGGUGUGGCAAGUCGGGAGUGAAAUCUCUGGGCUCAACUCAGAGACUGCUUCCGAAACUGCUGUGCUGGAGUGUGGGAGAGGCGCGUGGAAUUGCAGGUGUAGCGGUGAAAUGCGUAGAUAUCUGCAGGAACACCCGUGGCGAAAGCGGCGCGCUGGACCACUACUGACGCUGAGGAACGAAAGCUAGGGGAGCAAACAGG